GAUCAUGGCUCAGGAUGAACGCUAGCGGGAGGCCUAAUACAUGCAAGUCGAGCGGUAGAGUGACUUCGGUUGCUUGAGAGCGGCGAACGGGUGAGUAACGCGUACACAAUCUACCUUUAAGAGGGGAAUAGCCCUGGGAAACUGGGAUUAAUGCCCCCAUGGCAUCACGAGACGGCAUCGUUUUGUGAUUAAAGCUGAGGUGCUUAGAGAUGAGUGUGCGUCUGAUUAGCUAGUUGGUGCGGUAACGGCGCACCAAGGCGACGAUCAGUAGGGGGCGUGAGAGCGUGGACCCCCACACGGGUACUGAGACACGGACCCGACUCCUACGGGAGGCAGCAGUAAGGAAUAUUGGUCAAUGGAGGAAACUCUGAACCAGCCAUCCCGCGUGCAGGAAGAAUGCCCUAUGGGUUGUAAACUGCUUUUAUCUGGGAAGAAAAGUCGGGAUUUAUCCUGAUCUGACGGUACCAGAGGAAUAAGCACCGGCUAACUCCGUG
rnacentral:rRNA from 1 species